GCGGGGGUGGCGGAACGGGUAGACGCGCAAGGCUAAGGACCUUGUGGCUGCAAGGCUGUGGGAGUUCGAGUCUCCCCCUCCGCACCA
rnacentral:tRNA from 2 species